GACGAACCGAGCGAACGUUGUUCGGAAUCACUGGGCUUAAAGGGCGCGUAGGCGGGCGACCAAGUCCUGGGUGAAAUCCUCCGGCUUAACCGGAGAAGUGCCUGAGAUACUGGUCGUCUGGAGGGAGGUAGGGGCAGCUGGAACUUCCGGUGGAGCGGUGAAAUGCGUUGAUAUCGGAAGGAACGCCGGUGGCGAAAGUGAGCUGCCGGACCUCUUAUGACGUUGAGGCGCGAAAGCCAGGGGAGCAAACGGG
rnacentral:rRNA from 1 species